ACGGGUGAGUAAUGUCUGGGGAUCUGCCCGAUAGAGGGGGAUAACCACUGGAAACGGUGGCUAAUACCGCAUAACGUCGCAAGACCAAAGAGGGGGACCUUCGGGCCUCUCACUAUCGGAUGAACCCAGAUGGGAUUAGCUAGUAGGCGGGGUAAUGGCCCACCUAGGCGACGAUCCCUAGCUGGUCUGAGAGGAUGACCAGCCACACUGGAACUGAGACACGGUCCAGACUCCUACGGGAGGCAGCAGUGGGGAAUAUUGCACAAUGGGCGCAAGCCUGAUGCAGCCAUGCCGCGUGUAUGAAGAAGGCCUUCGGGUUGUAAAGUACUUUCAGCGGGGAGGAAGGCGAUGCGGUUAAUAACCUUAUCGAUUGACGUUACCCGCAGAAGAAGCACCGGCUAACUCCGUGCCAGCAGCCGCGGUAAUACGGAGGAUGCAAGCGUUAAUCGGAAUUACUGGGCGUAAAGCGCACGCAGGCGGUCUGUUAAGUCAGAUGUGAAAUCCCCGGGCUUAACCUGGGAACUGCAUUUGAAACUGGCAGGCUUGAGUCUUGUAGAGGGGGGUAGAAUUCCAGGUGU
rnacentral:rRNA from 1 species